rnacentral:rRNA from 1 species
GACGAACGCUGGCGGCGUGCUUAACACAUGCAAGUCGAACGGUGAAGCGCCUUCCUUUUUGGUGGGUGUGGAUGAGUGGCGAACGGGUGAGUAACACGUGAGUAACCUGCCCCCUUCUUCUGGAUAACCGCAUGAAAGUGUGGCUAAUACGGGAUAUUCUGGGUCUGUCGCAUGAUGGGUCUGGGAAAGAUAUUGUUUCGGUGGGGGAUGGGCUCGCGGCCUAUCAGCUUGCUGGUGGGGUGAUGGCCUACCAAGGCGGUGACGGGUAGCCGGCCUGAGAGGGUGGACGGUCACACUGGGACUGAGACACGGCCCAGACUCCUACGGGUGGCAGCAGUGGGGAAUAUUGCACAAUGGGCGCAAGCCUGAUGCAGCGACGCCGCGUGAGGGAUGGAGGCCUUCGGGUUGUGAACCUCUUUCGCCAGUGAAGCAGGCCUGCCUCGUUUGUGGGUGGGUUGACGGUAGCUGGAUAAGAAGCGCCGGCUAACUACGUG